GUCAGAGUAUUAACAUUUUAUUUUUGGAUGUAGUGGUCGUAGGGUCUAGGAUUUCCCUGAAGUUUUGCACCAGGCAGAGAGUGAUGAAUGAAGAAUCUGAAUUAAGGAGAACUAGAUUCUGAUGAAUGUCAUCAUAUGAUGUACUCUAUGGCUCCACACCAUCUGAAGUGGAGAGGAAGCGUUGCAAGAAACUUCCUUGCCAACCAUGGAUUCAAGAUAGUUAAGUAAUUGUGGAUUAUACAAUGGAG
rnacentral:lncRNA from 11 species